rnacentral:rRNA from 1 species
GACGAACGCUGGCGGCGUGCCUAAUACAUGCAAGUCGAACGGUCUUUUCUAUGGAAGCUUGCUUCCACUGGGAAGAUAGUGGCGAACGGGUGAGUAACACGUGGGUAACCUGCCCAUAAGAGGGGGAUAACAUCCGGAAACGGGUGCUAAUACCGCAUAGUUUUCUUGAUCGCAUGAUUGAGAAAGGAAAGACGGCCUUUGUGCUGUCGCUUAUGGAUGGACCCGAGGCGUAUUAGUUAGUUGGUGAGGUAACGGCUCACCAAGACGCUGAUACGCAGCCGACCCGGGAGGGUGAUGGGCCACAUUGGGACUGAGACACGGCCCAAACUCCUACGGGAGGCAGCAGUAGGGAAUCUUCCGCAAUGGACGAAAGUCUGACGGAGCAACGCCGCGUGAGGUAAGAAGGUUUUCGGAUCGUAAAACUCUGUUGUCAGAGAAGAACAAGUUGGAGAGUAACUGCUCCAGCCUUGACGGUAUCUGACCAGAAAGCCACGGCUAACUACGUGCCAGCAGCCGCGGUAACAC